UAUUUUGUAAGCAUGGAUUGUAGAGUUUUGGAGUCUUGCGUCCUAGUAAUUGGUUUACCAUCACCAUCACCAUCGUACACAAUUAAGCAAGCUUCAACUACAAAGCUUUUAGAAAAUUCAGACACUUUUUUUGUUAAUCCUUUCUUUCUCUGAAUGAAAGCUGCUUUCCGAACUUUGUUUCAGGGUUACUUUUCCACUUCCACGACCCAUCUCUACAAAAUCAAAUAUAAAAAUUAUCAAUAACAGAACCUUCAUGAUGGAAACAAUAAAAAUAAAUCUAUCUUAUAAAACUUUAAUUCUUUAGCUGCACAUUAUACCCAGACUGACAAAUUUUAACAAUAAGUCAAUAACAAUGAUGAUGAUGUUCUUGCUGAAAUAUUUUAAAACAAAUAUAUUUGCUGGAAUAUUAAAAAAAAAAUCAUUUUUUCUUUUCAUGUGAACUUAAAUUCCAUUACAGGCAACAUAGUAGUUUACAUACAUAUGUUAAGCAAUAAAAACUAAAUAAUAUCAUAAUCUUAACAAAAUAUCUAGAAAUUAAUUAUAGUAUAGUUAUUAUAAGAAAACCCUAAUUCCUAAUUCUCUGAUCAUGUUGUUUUAGGCAUGUAUUAAAAAGUUUUUGCCUGAUUAUGUUGUAAAUGAAUCGCUGAAUUGAGAGGAAAUUGAAGCAGGUUGGUAUAGUUGGCCAGCGGAUCAAGAGGAUCGAGACUGAAAGAGAGCAGUGAAGUGAAAUCAGUGUUUAGAGAAAUCGAUGUAUUUAUAAGAUUUGUAAAUUAUAUCCGUUAGAAAUCUUUUUUGGUUUAAAAAGAUUUUAUCUACCUUUUUUAUUACCGUUAGAAAUCUUUGUGUAAGAGAUUUUUUUCUCACUUUUUUUUUCUUGUGUAACAAGAUUUAUUUAUUUUCAUAAUAUUUAUUUGUAUUAAAAAAAAAAUAUUGAUUAGAUAAUUGGAAAUCUUUGACUUUUAGAGGGGUCAAACUUUUGAUUAGAUAAUUUAUUGGGAGCUUAUAUGGUGCAGUCCUAUUUUAGACUUUUUUUAUGCAGUCCCUUUAAUUAACCAAUAGAAUACCAAUUAAUUCUACAUCAACGCAAGUACAUGGUGAACUUUAUAAAACUUUUAUUUAUUGCACAUCAAUCCCUCAUUAAGUUUAUAUUAUAUAAAUAUCUCUUAUAUUAUAAGUUUGUAUACACAAGCAAGCAACCCUAAACCUAAUUUGUUUACCCUCCACUUUUAUCUUGCAAAUUUUAUUAAAAAAUAAUACAAUUUUGUCUUGACUAGAAUUCGAACCUGCGAUCCUUCAGUGCAAGACAAUAUUUUCAACCACUAUGACAAGUAUACCAAUUGUAAUUAAAAUUAUGUGCAAUAAUUGAUAAGCACCGUCGAUUUUCAUAGGAAAUAUUUCAUACAACAAUUAAACACCAUCAAAUUACAUUGCACAAUUUAAACAAUUAAAAACCGAUAAUUAGAAAUCUAGCAAAUCAUCAAAUCAUAAAUUUUCUUAGUGUUUUAUUUUUCGAAAAAAUUUACAUUUUUUUAUCCUAAUUCAAUAUUUUUUACUAAUUAACUAAACAUAUUUUGUUGGUCAUAUUUUGUAAGCAUGGAUUGUAGAGUUUUGGAGUCUUGUGUCCAAGUAAUUGGUUUACCAUCACCAUCACCAUCACCAUCGUACACAAUUAAGCAAGCUUCAACUACAAAGCUUUUAGAAAAUUCAGACACUUUUUUUGUUAAUCCUUUCUUUCUCUGAAUGAAAGGUGCUUUUCGUACUUUGUUUCAGGGCUACUUUUCCACUUCUGCGACCCAUUUCUACAAAAUCAAAUAUAAAAAUUAUCAAUGAUAGAACCUUCAUGGUGGAAACAAUAAAAAUAAACCUAUCUUAUAAAACUUUAUUCUUUAGCUGCACAUUAUACCCAGAUAAACUAGCUGACAAAUUUUAACAAUAAGUCAAUAACAAUGAUGAUGUUCUUGCUGAAAUAUUUUAAAACAAAUAUAUUUGCUGAAAUAUUAAAACAAAAAUAUUCAUUCUUUCUUUUCAUGUGAACUUAAAUUCCAUUAGUAGUUUACAUACAUGAGUUAAGCAAUAAAAACUAACUUGGUCUGAUAUGAUCAUUUAAUUAAAUCUUGAACACAAAAUAUUUAUAAACAACAAAUAGUAAAUCUUUUCCAAAAAGAAAUAAAUAAUAUCAUAAUCUCAACAAAAUAUCUAGAAAUUAAAUAUAAUAUAGUUAUUAUAAGAAAACCCUAAUUGUCGGAUCAUAUGUUUGUUUUCCUCACAGCUUACUUAGAGAACAUACAUCUAAAGGCAUGUAUUAAAAAGUUUUUACCUUUCACAGUGAUUAUGUUGUUUAUGAAUCGGUGUUGAGAGGAAAGUGAAGCAAGUUGGUGUAGUUGGCCAGCGGAGAGUGAAAGAGAGAAAUCAGUGUUUAGUGGAAUUAGGAGUAGGAGGCGUUAUCCACAGAGUCUCAG
rnacentral:lncRNA from 1 species